GUUCCAACUUCUAGCCAAGGGACACGGAGCAUGCGCAGGAUCGCCGGGCAGUCAGGCAACAAGCAGCCAACCGCAGUUCCUUCUCAACCUUCCUAGAGAGCAGAUGGAGCAGUUUCUGUGAGCGUCUUCCUCCUCAUUGCACGGUGCUGGUAUUCACUGAGGACAUGACUUCCUCCUCCCUGCUUGGCCACGAGUCCUGCAGGCCCGCCCCUCACCCUCAUCAUCCUGACAUCACCGCCAGAGGAGACGCAGUAGUGGUAACACGUCCAUCUAGCUGAUUGUGGGUAAAAUUAUCAGGUGACAUUGGUGUGGUGGUAGUGUGGACUGAGGCAGCCAGGCACCAGUCCUGGGUGAAGAGGAGGCACAAUGAGGAAGGAACUCUGCUGGUGUGGUGGUAGUGUGGACUGAGGCAGCCAGGCACCAGUCCUGUGUGAAGAAGAGGCACAAUGAGGAAGGAACUCUGCAAAGUGUACACAAGUUUAACUGAAUUCAGUGCUGUUUUUGAGCCAAGGACCCUGCUUCUUUACUUUUUUCUGGGUGUGAUGUCCAGCACCACACAGUUCUGCCUCAAGUCCCUGCACCGUGAGUUUUCGUCUGCCACAUUAUCAUCUUCCACUGGAACUCUACCAGCCCUCACAUGGGAAGGGG